ensembl:snRNA U6 U6 spliceosomal RNA
GUGCUCGAUUCAGCAGCACAUAUGCUAAAGUUGGAAUGAUACAGAGAUUAGCAUGGCCCCUGCAAAGAUGAUAAACAAGCUCAUGAAGCAAUCAUUCCAUUA